rnacentral:rRNA from 1 species
GGCUCAGAACGAACGCUGGCGGCGUGCUUAACACAUGCAAGUCGAACGUGAAAGCUGGCUUCGGUCAGUGAGUAAAGUGGCGCACGGGUGAGUAACACGUAGACAACCUGCCUUCCAGCCUGGAAUAACCAACCGAAAGGUUGGCUAAUACCGGAUAAUACCUUUGGGCGCAUGCCCGGGGGUCGAAAGGCUUGCUACUGGAAGAGGGGUCUGCGGGACAUUAGCUAGUUGGUGGGGUAACGGCCCACCA